AACUUUUGAAUAAUCGUACCGUAGACAGUAGGUGCCGAAAGGCUUAAUCUCCUACCGAGGUGUUCGAAAUAGACUGAGUGCUUGGGGUGUGUCGUUGACACGUCUGCGCACCAAGUGCUAUCGUGAUGCCUCUGUAGUAAACUGCAGAGGCUUUUCUUAUGCUGAA
rnacentral:sRNA from 1 species